AUACAGAGGGUGCAAACGUUGUUCGGAAUUACUGGGCAUAAAGCGUGCGUAGGCGGUUUUGUAAGUGUGAAGUUAAAGCCCACGGCUUACCCGUGGAACUGCUUAGCAUACUGCAGAACUAGAGGAUGGUAGGGGAAAGCGGAACUCUUGGAGGAGCGGUGAAAUGCGUAGAUAUCAAGAGGAACACCAAUGGCGAGGGCAGCUUUCUGGUCCAUUUCUGACGCUGAGGUACGAAAGCUAGCGUAGCGAACGGGAUUAGAAACCCGGGUAGUCC
rnacentral:rRNA from 1 species